rnacentral:rRNA from 1 species
GAUGAACGCUGGCGGCGUGCCUAAUACAUGCAAGUCGAGCGAACGGACGAGAAGCUUGCUUCUCUGAUGUUAGCGGCGGACGGGUGAGUAACACGUGGAUAACCUACCUAUAAGACUGGGAUAACUUCGGGAAACCGGAGCUAAUACCGGAUAAUAUUUUGAACCGCAUGGUUCAAAAGUGAAAGACGGUCUUGCUGUCACUUAUAGAUGGAUCCGCGCUGCAUUAGCUAGUUGGUAAGGUAACGGCUUACCAAGGCAACGAUGCAUAGCCGACCUGAGAGGGUGAUCGGCCACACUGGAACUGAGACACGGUCCAGACUCCUACGGGAGGCAGCAGUAGGGAAUCUUCCGCAAUGGGCGAAAGCCUGACGGAGCAACGCCGCGUGAGUGAUGAAGGUCUUCGGAUCGUAAAACUCUGUUAUUAGGGAAGAACAUAUGUGUAAGUAACUGUGCACAUCUUGACGGUACCUAAUCAGAAAGCCACGGCUAACUACGUGCCAGCAGCCGCGGUAAUACGUAGGUGGCAAGCGUUAUCCGGAAUUAUUGGGCGUAAAGCGCGCGUAGGCGGUUUUUUAAGUCUGAUGUGAAAGCCCACGGCUCAACCGUGGAGGGUCAUUGGAAACUGGAAAACUUGAGUGCAGAAGAGGAAAGUGGAAUUCCAUGUGUAGCGGUGAAAUGCGCAGAGAUAUGGAGGAACACCAGUGGCGAAGGCGACUUUCUGGUCUGUAACUGACGCUGAUGUGCGAAAGCGUGGGGAUCAAACAGGAUUAGAUACCCUGGUAGUCCACGCCGUAAACGAUGAGUGCUAAGUGUUAGGGGGUUUCCGCCCCUUAGUGCUGCAGCUAACGCAUUAAGCACUCCGCCUGGGGAGUACGACCGCAAGGUUGAAACUCAAAGGAAUUGACGGGGACCCGCACAAGCGGUGGAGCAUGUGGUUUAAUUCGAAGCAACGCGAAGAACCUUACCAAAUCUUGACAUCCUUUGACAACUCUAGAGAUAGAGCCUUCCCCUUCGGGGGGGCAAAGUGACAGGUGGUGCAUGGUUGUCGUCAGCUCGUGUCGUGAGAUGUUGGGUUAAGUCCCGCAACGAGCGCAACCCUUAAGCUUAGUCGCCAUCAUUAAGUUGGGCACUCUAAGUUGACUGCCGGUGACAAACCGGAGGAAGGUGGGGAUGACGUCAAAUCAUCAUGCCCCUUAUGAUUUGGGCUACACACGUGCUACAAUGGACAAUACAAAGGGCAGCGAAACCGCGAGGUCAAGCAAAUCCCAUAAAGUUGUUCUCAGUUCGGAUUGUAGUCUGCAACUCGACUACAUGAAGCUGGAAUCGCUAGUAAUCGUAGAUCAGCAUGCUACGGUGAAGACGUUCCCGGGUCU